rnacentral:lncRNA from 1 species
GCUUCUUGGCCUGGAUGGCAAAGUCCCAGGAGCCAGUCCUAACUCAGACUCUGGCCUGCCUAGGUACAUUUCAGAUGAAAGUCACCCCUGCUCCUUGCCCCACCCUCAGUCCAACAAAAAUGUGCUUCUAGAAAUGCUUACUUUUCUUUUUCUACGAAGGGCUUAUAAUGUGAGGCUACUAAAGAUUUUCAGAUUUCAGAAUAGUACCACUUACCUUGGGCUAGGUUAAUUUUUUAGAGAAUUGAUCUUGUCCCCUAAUGAGUAGGAAGAUCAACUGGUUUUUGGACAUGACUAUAAGCAGAAGAUGCUAAAUAAUACCUUAAAAAGACUCCACUGGCCAGGUGCGGUGGUUCACUCCUGUAAACAUUUUUUAAUUUUUGUGGGUACAUAGUAGAUGUAUAUAUUUAUGGGUUACAUGAAAUAUUUUGGUACAGGCAUGCAAUGUGUAAUAAUCACAUCAGGAUAAAUAGGGUUUCCAUCAUCUUAAGCACUUAUCCUUUGUGUUACAAACAAUCCAGUUAUACUCUUCAGUUAUUUUAAAAUUUUAUUUUUUGAGACAGUCUCACUCUAUUGCCUAGGCUGGAGUGCAGUGCCACAAUCAUGGCUCACUGAAGCCUUGACCGCCUGGUCUCAGGUGAUCUUCACCCUCCUGAGAAGCUGAGGCAGGAGAAAUGCUUCAACCCAGGAGGCGGAGGUUGUGGUGAGCUGAGAUCGCGCCAUUGCACUCCAGCCUGGGCAACAAGAGUGAAACUCCAUCUCACACACACACACACACACACACAUAAAAGUUGUGCAAAAAUUACAACUUAGUUUUGGAACAUUUUUGUCACCCCCAAAAGAUCCCUUGUGCCCAUCUGCAGGCAAUCCAUGUUUUCACAUCAGACCCAUGCAACUGCUAAUUUAGUAUAUGCCUUUUCUGGACUGUAAAUGGAAACAUACCAUAUGUGGGAUAUUGCAUCAGACUUCUUUCACUAAGCAUAAUGUUUUGAGAUGCAUCCAUAUUGUAGCCUAUAUCACUACUCCAUUGUAUACAUAUAUCAUUUAAAGAAAUCCACCAGUUAAAAAAAAAAAGAAAAAGAAAUAAUCUGGGUAUGUUGGUGCCUGCCUGCAGUCCCAGUUACUGAGGAGGCUGAGGCAGGAGGAUUGUUUGAGCCCAGGAGUUUGACUUCAGAGUAUGCAACAUAGUGAGGCCUCAUCUCUUAAAAAAAAAAAAAAAAUCCAGUAGUUGAUGGUCAUUUGGUUUCCACUUUUUGACUAAUAUGAAUGAUAAUGCUAUGAACAUUUGCCUACGAGUCUUGAUGUGAACACAUUUCCACUUCUCUUCUCAUGGAAUAGCAGGAUCAUAUGGUAAACUUAUGUUUAUCUUUUUAAGAAACUGCCAAACUGUUUUCCAAAGUGGCUGCACCAUUUUACAUUCCCACCAGCAAUGCAUUAGGGCUCCAGUUUCUCCACAUCAUCACCAACACAUAUCUUUGUCUGUCUUUUUUAUUAUAGUCAUUUUAGUGGGUCCAAAAUGGUAUCUAAUUUUGCUUUUAACUUGUAUUUUCCUAAUGACUAGUGAUAGUACACAUCUCUUCAUAUGCUAAGCAAUUUGUAUAUCUUUGCUGAAAUAUCUAUUCAAACAUUUUGUCCAUUUUUAAGUUGUCUGCCUUAUUUUUGAGUUUUAAGAAUUCUUUACAUAGUCUAGAUACAAGUCCUCUAUCAGAUACUUAUUAUGGUUUGAAAAUAUUUUCUCCCAGUCUGUGAUUUUUCAAUUAAUUUUUUUUUUUUUUUUUUUUUUUGAGACAGGGUCUCACUCUGUCACCCAGGCUCUAGUGCGGUGGUGUGAUCUUGGCUCACUGCAACCUCUGCCUCCCAGGGUCAAGAGAUCCUCCCACCUCAGCCUUCUGAGUAGCCAGGACUACAGGAGCACGCCACCAUGCCUGGUUAAUUUUUGUAUUUUUUGUGGAGAUGGCAUUUUGCUCUGUUGUCCAGUCUGGUCUCAAAUUCCUGAGCUCAAGUGGUCCACCCUCCUUGGCUUCCGAAAGUGCAGGGAUUUCAGAUGUGAACCACCUCCCCGGGCCAAUUAAUUUUCUUAAUAGUUUUUUGAAACAAAAUUUUAUAUUUUAAUGAAGUCCAAUUUAUUAAUAUUUUCUUUUAUGAAUUGUGCUAUUAGUGUCUUAAGAAUUCUUCCUAAACCAAGGUCAUCUAGGUUUUCUCCCAUGUUUUCUUCUACAUGUUUUAUAGUUUUAGCUCUUACAUGUAGGUGUGUGAUCAAUUUUGAGUUUAUUUUUGCAUAUGGUAGGAGGUAAGAAUCUAAAUUAAUUUCUUCUGCAUUUGAUAUCCAAAUAUCCUAGCACUAUUUGUUGAAAAGACCAUCUUUUCUCCAUAAUUUCAUUGGGAUUUUUGUCAAAACUUAAUUGAUCAUAAAUGUGAAGGUUUAUUCCUGGACUCUGUUCCACUGAUCUGUAUGCCUAUCUUUAUAUCAGUACCACACUGUCUUGAUUAAUGUAGCUUUGUAGUAAGUUCUGGAUCAGAAUUAUUUCUUCAUUUUCAGAAUUAUUUUGGCUAUUCUGAAUCCUUUAUGUUUUCAUACAGAUUUUAAGAUUGGCUUGUCAAUUUUUCAAAAAAGCCUGCUGUGAUUUUGAUAGGGAUUGCAUUGUAGAUUAAUUUGGGGAGAACUGCUAUCUUAACAACAUUUGAUCUUCCAAUUCAUGAACAUGGAUUGUGUCUACAUUUCUUGAUACCUUCUUUAAUCUCUCUGAAUUUUUCUUUUUCUUUUUUUGAGACAGGGUCUUGCUCUGUUGCCCAGGCUGGAGUGCACUGGCACAGUCACAGCUAACUGCAGCCUCAACCUCCCAAGCUCAGGCAAUCCUCCCAAUGUAGCCUCUCAAGUAGCUGGGACUACAGGUGUGCAGCACCAUGCCUGGCUAGUUUUUUAAAAUUUAAUAAUUAUUUUUUUUAUUAUACUUUAAGUUCUGGGUUACAUGUGCAGAACAUGUAGUUUUGUUACAUAGGUAUACACAUGCCAUGGUGGUUUGCUGCACCCACCAACCUGUCACCUACAUUAG